UACGUAGGGCGCGAGCGUUGUCCGGAAUCAUUGGGCGUAAAGAGCUCGUAGGUGGUUUGUCGCGUUGUUCGUGAAAACUCACAACUCAAUUGUGGGCGUGCGGGCGAUACGGGCAGACUGGAGUACUGCAGGGGAGACUGGAAUUCCUGGUGUAGCGGUGGAAUGCGCAGAUAUCAGGAGGAACACCGGUGGCGAAGGCGGGUCUCUGGGCAGUAACUGACGCUGAGGAGCGAAAGCGUGGGGAGCGAACAGG
rnacentral:rRNA from 1 species